GUUUUUAUAGUUUAACCAAAACAUUGGUCUUGUAAAUCAAAAUUAAAUAUUUAUUUUAAAAACU
rnacentral:tRNA from 1 species